rnacentral:lncRNA from 1 species
CUUUCUCCACGCGUGCCCCGACAAUUCUGUCUCUCUUUCUUCAUUUUUCUUAUUUUCACCUCCUACGUUCUUUUUUCUUUCCUUUCUUUUGCGGACCACUUUCUCAGUUUUUCUUCAUAAAAGCUUUUCUCUCUUUUGCCGACCAUAAGCCUCUCUCUGGAGCUCUCUCUGUAUCUCCAUUUCUUGACCGUGACGAAAAGCUCCGUCGUACUUUUUCGUCCUCUUUUGACAAUGAUCGCAUGCUGAAAAAUUGCCCACCCCACUUGGCC